AGGAUUUGUCCACCAGGAGGUAGCCAUUCCAUCUGUGCCUCCACCAGAUAAGCUUUUGUCAAUGGAGGAGCUGCGGGAGAGAUGUCUUACUGACCCUCGUCUUCCAAAAUAAGAUUUUGGAGGAGCUGCGGAAGAGACGCCAAGAAAGUUUCAUGCCAAGACUUCGUUUUUCCACUUCCCAUGGCUUAUGUGCAUCUCAAGUGGUAUCUUC